AGAGUUUGAUCAUGGCUCAGAUUGAACGCUGGCGGCAGGCCUAACACAUGCAAGUCGAGCGGUAGCACAGAGAGCUUGCUCUCGGGUGACGAGCGGCGGACGGGUGAGUAAUGUCUGGGAAACUGCCUGAUGGAGGGGGAUAACUACUGGAAACGGUAGCUAAUACCGCAUAAUGUCGCAAGACCAAAGUGGGGGACCUUCGGGCCUCAUGCCAUCAGAUGUGCCCAGAUGGGAUUAGCUUGUAGGUGGGGUAACGGCUCACCUAGGCGACGAUCCCUAGCUGGUCUGAGAGGAUGACCAGCCACACUGGAACUGAGACACGGUCCAGACUCCUACGGGAGGCAGCAGUGGGGAAUAUUGCACAAUGGGCGCAAGCCUGAUGCAGCCAUGCCGCGUGUGUGAAGAAGGCCUUCGGGUUGUAAAGCACUUUCAGCGGGGAGGAAGGCGGUGAGGUUAAUAACCUCAUCGAUUGACGUUACCCGCAGAAGAAGCACCGGCUAACUCCGUGCCAGCAGCCGCGGUAAUACGGAGGGUGCAAGCGUUAAUCGGAAUUACUGGGCGUAAAGCGCACGCAGGCGGUCUGUCAAGUCGGAUGUGAAAUCCCCGGGCUCAACCUGGGAACUGCAUUCGAAACUGGCAGGCUAGAGUCUUGUAGAGGGGGGUAGAAUUCCAGGUGUAGCGGUGAAAUGCGUAGAGAUCUGGAGGAAUACCGGUGGCGAAGGCGGCCCCCUGGACAAAGACUGACGCUCAGGUGCGAAAGCGUGGGGAGCAAACAGGAUUAGAUACCCUGGUAGUCCACGCCGUAAACGAUGUCGAUUUGGAGGUUGUGCCCUUGAGGCGUGGCUUCCGGAGCUAACGCGUUAAAUCGACCGCCUGGGGAGUACGGCCGCAAGGUUAAAACUCAAAUGAAUUGACGGGGGCCCGCACAAGCGGUGGAGCAUGUGGUUUAAUUCGAUGCAACGCGAAGAACCUUACCUGGUCUUGACAUCCACAGAACUUACCAGAGAUGCAUUGGUGCCUUCGGGAACUGUGAGACAGGUGCUGCAUGGCUGUCGUCAGCUCGUGUUGUGAAAUGUUGGGUUAAGUCCCGCAACGAGCGCAACCCUUAUCCUUUGUUGCCAGCGGUCCGGCCGGGAACUCAAAGGAGACUGCCAGUGAUAAACUGGAGGAAGGUGGGGAUGACGUCAAGUCAUCAUGGCCCUUACGACCAGGGCUACACACGUGCUACAAUGGCAUAUACAAAGAGAAGCGACCUCGCGAGAGCAAGCGGACCUCAUAAAGUAUGUCGUAGUCCGGAUUGGAGUCUGCAACUCGACUCCAUGAAGUCGGAAUCGCUAGUAAUCGUAGAUCAGAAUGCUACGGUGAAUACGUUCCCGGGCCUUGUACACACCGCCCGUCACACCAUGGGAGUGGGUUGCAAAAGAAGUAGGUAGCUUAACCUUCGGGAGGGCGCUUACCACUUUGUGAUUCAUGACUGGGGUGAAGUCGUAACAAGGUAACCGUAGGGGAACCUGCGGUUGGAUCACCU
rnacentral:rRNA from 1 species